CAGCAGCCGCGGUAAUACGGAGGGUGCAAGCGUUAAUCGGAAUUACUGGGCGUAAAGCGUGCGUAGGCGGCUUCUUAAGUCGGAUGUGAAAUCCCUGAGCUUAACUUAGGAAUUGCAUUCGAUACUGGGAAGCUAGAGUAUGGGAGAGGAUGGUAGAAUUCCAGGUGUAGCGGUGAAAUGCGUAGAGAUCUGGAGGAAUACCGAUGGCGAAGGCAGCCAUCUGGCCUAAUACUGACGCUGAGGUACGAAAGCAUGGGGAGCAAACAGGAUUAGAUACCCGAGUAGUCCCUGUCUCUUAUAC
rnacentral:rRNA from 1 species